rnacentral:rRNA from 1 species
UACGUAGGGACCAAGCGUUGUUCGGAUUUACUGGGCGUAAAGGGCGCGUAGGCGGCGUGUUAAGUCAGCUGUGAAAUCUCCAAGCUUAACUUGGAACGGUCAGCUGAUACUGAUGUGCUAGAGUGCAGAAGGGGCAAUCGGAAUUCUUGGUGUAGCGGUGAAAUGCGCAGAUAUCAGGAGGAACACCGGUGGCGAAGGCGGAUCUCUGGGCCGUAACUGACGCUGAGGAGCGAAAGCAUGGGGAGCGAACAGG